GCGGUGGAGCAUGUGGUUUAAUUCGAUGCAACGCGAAGAACCUUACCUGGUCUUGACAUCCACAGAACUUUCCAGAGAUGGAUUGGUGCCUUCGGGAACUGUGAGACAGGUGCUGCAUGGCUGUCGUUAGCUCGUGUUGUGAAAUGUUGGGUUAAGUCCCGCAACGAGCGCAACCCUUAUCCUUUGUUGCCAGCGGUCCGGCCGGGAACUCAAAGGAGACUGCCAGUGAUAAACUGGAGGAAGGUGGGGAUGACG
rnacentral:rRNA from 1 species